rnacentral:rRNA from 1 species
AUUGAACGCUGGCGGCAGGCCUAACACAUGCAAGUCGAACGAGUGGCGGACGGGUGAGUAAUGUCUGGGACACUGCCAGAUGGCGGGGGAUAACUACUGGAAACGGUCGCAAAUACCACAUACCAUCGGAUGUGCACAGAUGGGCUUAGCUAGUAGGUGGGGUAACGGCUCACCUAUGCGACGAUCCCUAGCUGGUCUGAGAGGAUGACCAGCCACACUGGAACUGAGACACGGUCCAGACUCCUACGGGAGGCAGCAGUGGGGAAUAUUGCACAAUGGGCGCAAGCCUGAUGCAGCCAUGCCGCGUGUAUGAAGAAGGCCUUCGGGUUGUAAAGUACUUUCAGCGAGGAGGCGUUACUCGCAGAAGAAGCACCGGCUAACUCCGUGCCAGCAGCCGCGGUAAUUC